GACGAACGCUGGCGGCAGGCCUAACACAUGCAAGUCGAACGAGUGGCGGACGGGUGAGUAAUGUCUGGGAAACUGCCCGAUGGAGGGGGAUAACUACUGGAAACGGUAGCUAAUACCGCAUACCAUCGGAUGUGCCCAGAUGGGAUUAGCUAGUAGGUGGGGUAACGGCUCACCUAGGCGACGAUCCCUAGCUGGUCUGAGAGGAUGACCAGCCACACUGGAACUGAGACCCUGUCCAGAUUCCUCCGGGCGGAGGCAGUGGGGAUUAUUGCACAAUGGGCGCAAGCCUGAUGCAGCCAUGCCGCGUGUAUACAGAAGACCUUCGGUUUGUAAAGUACUUUAAGCGAGGAGGCUUUACUCGCAGAAGAAGCACCGGCUAACUCCGUGCCAGCAGCCGCGGUAAUAC
rnacentral:rRNA from 1 species